GAUGAACGCUGGCGGCGUGCUUAACACAUGCAAGUCGAACGGGAUCCAAGGGGUGCUUGCACUUUUUGGUGAGAGUGGCGAACGGGUGAGUAACACGUGAGUAACCUGUCCUUUUCUUUGGGAUAAGCAUUCGAAAGGGUGUUUAAUACCUUAUGUUCUGUCUGCCUCGCAUGGGGUGGGUGGGAAAGGCUUUGGCCGGAGUUGGGUGGGCUCGCGGUCUAUCAGCUUGUUGGUGGGGUGAUGGCUUACCAAGGCUUUGACGGGUAGCCGGCCUGAGAGGGUGGUCGGUCACAUUGGGACUGAGAUACGGCCCAGACUCCUGCGGGAGGCAGCAGUGGGGGAAAUUGCACAAUGGGCGAAAGCCUGAUGCAGCGACGCCGCGUGGGGGAUGAAGGCCUUCGGGUUGUAAACUUCUUUUGCUCUGAACAAGGCGCACUUUUGGGUGUGUUGAGUGUAGGGGUUGAUUAGCGCCGGCUAACUACGUG
rnacentral:rRNA from 1 species